rnacentral:misc_RNA from 1 species
UGUUAAGUGAAAAAACCUGGAGAAUACACAAAAACACAAGACCUCAACCGCAAAGACACACUAGGAAUUAACAACCUGCAUGACCCAUGAAAGGGACAACCUGAGACUAAAAUACAACCAGACACCAAUAAUAAUAUGAAGCAGACCAUCUAAUAUCCUUUCCUAGAGUACUAGCUUUAUGUUAAAAAAAAAAUUGAUAAUUUACAACCAAGUCCUUAAAAUAUAGCAAAACCCACAUAUUAAUCUCUAGUUUAUUUUUAAGUAACAAUUUGGUCCUUAAGUUUAAAUUCCGUUAACAAUUAGUCUCUACCAUUAAUUACUUUUUAAUUUGAAACAAUUUAAUCCUCAAGUUUUGUUUUAUUAGCAAAAUAGUU